GACGAACGCUGGCGGCGUGCUUAACACAUGCAAGUCGAACGGAAAGGCCCUGCUUUUGUGGGGUGCUCGAGUGGCGAACGGGUGAGUAACACGUGAGUAACAUGCCCUUGACUUUGGGAUAACUUCAGGAAACUGGGGCUAAUACCGGAUAGGAGCUCCUGCUGCAUGGUGGGGGUUGGAAAGAUUCGGCGGUUGGGGAUGGACUCGCGGCUUAUCAGCUUGUUGGUGGGGUAGUGGCUUACCAAGGCUUUGACGGGUAGCCGGCCUGAGAGGGUGACCGGCGACAUUGGGACUGAGAUACGGCCCAGUCUCCAACGGGAGGCAGCAGUGGGAAAUAUUGCACAAUGGGCGGAAGCCUGAUGCAGCAACGCCGCGUGCGUGAUGACGGCCUUCGAGUUGUAAACCACUUUCGCCGGUGACGAAGCGGGAGUGACGGUAAUGGGUAAAGAAGCACCGGCUAACUACGUG
rnacentral:rRNA from 1 species